GCGCUUGUAGCUCAGUGGAUAGAGCGUCUGUUUCCUAAGCAAAUGGUCGUAGGUUCGACUCGUUCCUGGCGUG
rnacentral:tRNA from 1 species